GGCCUAUCAGCUUGUUGGUGGGGUAAUGGCCUACCAAGGCGUCGACGGGUAGCCGGCCUGAGAGGGCGACCGGCCACACUGGGACUGAGACACGGCCCAGACUCCUACGGGAGGCAGCAGUGGGGAAUAUUGCGCAAUGGACGAAAGUCUGACGCAGCAACGCCGCGUGAGGGAUGACGGCCUUCGGGUUGUAAACCUCUUUCAGCAGGGACGAAGCGAGAGUGACGGUACCUGCAGAAGAAGGACCGGCCAACUACGUGCCAGCAGCCGCGGUAAUACGUAGGGUCCGAGCGUUGUCCGGAAUUAUUGGGCGUAAAGGGCUCGUAGGCGGUUCGUCACGUCGGGAGUGAAAACUCGGGGCUUAACCCCGAGCCUGCUUCCGAUACGGGCAGACUAGAGGUAGGCAGGGGAGAGCGGAACUCCUGGUGUAGCGGUGGAAUGCGCAGAUAUCAGGAAGAACACCGGUGGCGAAGGCGGCUCUCUGGGCCUUACCUGACGCUGAGGAGCGAAAGCGUGGGUAGCGAACAGGAUUAGAUACCCUGGUAGUCCACGCCGUAAACGUUGGGCGCUAGGUGUGGGGGACAUUCCACGUCCUC
rnacentral:rRNA from 1 species